UGAUUGCUGAAGGAUCAUGUGACACUGAAGACUGGAGUAAUGACUGGAGAAAAUUAAAUUUUUUCUGUGUUUUAAGUGUUUUCCUGCAUUUGUUUGUAAGGUAUCUUGUCCUGUGUGUUCUGCCAUGUAUUCAGAAGACUUUAUUGAAGUACAUGCAAGUACCUGUGGGGAAAGGUUAUUAUUUUUAUUUUAUGCUUUGUGUUUUCACGAAAUUAUUGGUUUAACCUACAGUCCUUACCAUUAGUUGUUUGUGUGUGGUAGUAAUUUUUAUUUAGCUAAAUUGAAUUUCUUUCAGAGCUGACGAUAGACCAAACCAAGAUUUCGUCAUAACAGGACAAAAGCAAGACAAGCACAAGAGGUGCAAUUAUUAUUAUAUCCCAAGGAUCGAUCGUCUCUUUAUACCGCUGAUAAAUGAACAGAACAUUAUAGCACACCUCUCAUCCAUUAAACCGCAAUAGGCUUUGUGCUUUGUUACUUUUGAUGAGAAACAAAGUCUCAGAUUUCGAAUUCCGUCCAUCUUAAACAAUAAAUAUCACUGUGGUGCUUGCUAUCUAAUGCAGUGACCGAUCACGCAGUGUGCUUCAGGUCAAGUGAAGCGGCAGCAUGCAGCGCACUUGAAAGAUCACGUCUUCCUCUAUUUUUAAUACCAGUUACGGGCUACAGCGCGAAAUAAACAUGAACAGUUUGUCAGCCUCUCUUUGUCAAUUGAACUGUUGUUCUUUAGGAUAGUUGGUGAAAUAAUGGCAGUGAGCAUUACUCAGGAUGGACCUCCACCCAAGUUUUUUCAUGGAGUGGAUAUACAAUUUCAUUUCUUCCGGGGAGAUUAAUAAAGAUGAGCUGACAAAGGCUGACAUAACAAAUGCAGACCUGCUAGAUCUAAUUGACAAGAUUGAGACCACAGACACUACAUCCUUGCUUGACCUUUCUGAAAGAAUCGUAGCAUGUGGGUGCACAGGACCCCUAACAUGUGAUGAAAGGAAGACAUUGUCAGUGCUGUUGUUCUGCAUUCGUCUGUGUGAAUCCUCCCAAUGCUGCAGCAAAUGUGCAGAGGAUUGGAAAUCUAUGGCCUCCAUGAAAUGGUGAAACAAAAUCAGCCUUUAUUUCAGCCGUUUAUUUGUUCCCUGCUCACUUUACAAAACCUGAUGCAGAUUUUCUCAUGAUGGCUCUGUCACCCGUUUUAAGUGCGGUGGGUUCAGUGAAGCAGCAGAGGGAAUCACGGAUUGUGAACUACUUGCAGGACUUCAUUCAAAGCCUUGAAGAUGAAGAGAAGAAGGGAGCAGCAGUAAGGAGAGCAGGGUUGAAGAUGACAGCGAACAGGUGGAUAAAACAAACUGCACUAAAGGAGAUGCAGAACAAGACAAGAUCACCGUCAGCAGUUUCAUGCAGUGGAUUACUGGUCAGGGGCAUGUCCCCAUUACUUCUGCACAAAGAGAAAAAAUUAAUUUGAUCCUGACUGUCAGCUUCGAUAUGGUCAGCAUAGUUUAUGCUUGCCUCUAGUAAAUGCAUGUUCCUGUACUGUACCUACACAGCACCUAGAGACAAACACAGAGUUCCUCAGCAUUAUGAGGCAGGCUGAGAGCAAUAGCAGAGACUUUGGUCGUUCGUGAAAUUGAUUCUUACUAUAGUUUAAUCACUAUACUGUGUACCCUCUGUUAUGUUGUUAAUAAUGGAUUCUUAAUAAAGAAUAGGAGUCCAGUAGCUUUUGGAUAUUUGACUGUAUUUUUUUAUUUUCUUUAUUAUUGACAUGUAUUACAACAAAAGCAGCCAAGAUUGCUGCCAAAUUGUUCCAAACUCUAUUCAGAUGUGAAAAAACUGUACAUCAAUAUACAGUAAGCUUCAAAGCAAAAUAAAUUCAUUAUGCUGUUCAGUCUU